rnacentral:lncRNA from 1 species
UUUUUUUUUUUUUUUCAGGUGCAAAGAUGACCUGAAUUUGCUUCAGGUUCAGUUCUGCUUAGAUGCAUUUAGAUGCUCAUUUCAGCUGAACUUGGUGGAAAAGGAGGUUUGGAUGGUUCUCUUUAUUAUUCUUUGAUGAAGUCACAGAGUAAGUGUUGAUGUUUUACACUGAAGAUCAAUUUCCACAUGUGCACACUGAUUGUGGUGCCACCAUUCUCCAGUCCAUGGUGAGGGAUCAGUGAAACGAUGUCUGUUCACCAUGGUGCCCAGGACAUCGCCGGUUCUUGGUACAUGUGUGUGGAUCUGAAUCACUUUAAGUUAAUAAAGAUUCUAGUCCAAAGAUGGUUCCUUUUUUUUCCCCCUCAUGGACGGCGAGUUUUCUUACAAGGGCAUUUCUUCCUUGGAGGAUUGCGGCAGAGAAAAUAGAAAGUUUGGGUAGAAGAGUGGGGGAUGAAAAGUCUGAAAACAGAGGGGUCUGGAUGUUGCUCCCAUUUCCCUCUCAUCUGCUGCAACCCCCUCAACUCUCUCAUGUGCAGAAACCCUCGGCCUUCAUUGUGUUUUCUCUGCUCUGCUUCAGGAAGUGAGCAGAAGCCAAAAGGGAGUCAGAAAGCGCGUCAGGGAGUUCCCAUGUGGCUCAGCAGGUUAAGGAUCAGGGCUGUCACUGCUGGGGUGCAGACUUGAUCCCUCCCCUGGGAACUUCCUUAUGCCUCGGGCACAGCGCCCCCCCCCCCCGCCCGCCCCCUGCCCAAAUAAAGCAGGUCAGAGGGUGUCUUCUCCUCCCUCGCCUGUUGGAGCAUCAAAUCAGCCUCAGCACCGUGGGACCACACUGAGUUCACGGGAACAUUGUGGGCACAGAUUCAGAGGAGGACGCUGUAACUAAAGGUGAAGCAGGCAGGGCCCCCAGAUACAGAAUGGAUCCGCGUCGGCAGUGGAAUGUGCCGGAGAAGUCCGCUGACCCGACCUUACAACAUGGGUCUCACUUUGUUUGGCUUGUUCACCACCAGCACCCUUGUCCCAAGUCGCUCUCGUUUUUGCUCAGGUUACUGCAGACCACUGACAUACUCUGUAGAGUAACCAAGGGAUCUUUUAGCAGAACAAGGGCAGUGUCUUCACUGCUGGCUCCCCUGCCCCAGCCCUGCCUGUGUCCGCAGCCUCAUCAUUUCUCACUCCUGCAGGGCACGCUGAUCUCUGUGUGGUUCCUCAGGAACACAGACUUCCCUCCUUCUCUGGGCCC